AAUUUCCAAGUUGAUACUUUAAAUUAAAAAUUCCCUGAGAUUUUCAUAUAUGAUUUUUCUUCGAAAAGACGACAAAUUUCAUAAGAAGAAAGAUAUUUCCUGAAUUUUUUCCUCACAAAUUUCAAUCUUUCCCCGAAAGUCUCAUGCUUUUUAAGAAGAAAUCAACAAGUAGAUAGAUACAAACGAGAUUAUAAAAAAAGUUGCUAGUGUUUCUGUAUUUUCCUUCGCUAUCCCACACUUUCAUCACUACCAAACAGACUCCACUACCUUCAUGCAAUCAAUGUAGAAACAGAAAGUCAGACUAAACACGGCAUUGAAUGAAGGGAGGGGUGAGCAGAAAUGGGUUGUUCUUGAUUUUGCACAAGGGUGAUGGAGGAUGAGAGAUGCAGGAGGAGAGGUAGUCCCAACUGGAGGUGCAGUGAAAGGGCUUUGCCUGGAAAAACACUUUGUGAGAAGCACUUGUUCUGCCAGCUGAUUCGGAAUCGGGUGAAGACGGCGAGGCUUGCGGAGGGGAGAGACGGGGAGGUGGGUCGCCCAAGUGGGAAGCAGAAGCUGGCGGCAGCUGGGGAGGAGAUGGUUGGUGGUGGCGGUAAAGAGGAUCGGGGGUUUUCGGGUGAAAUCCUGGCCGCCGGCGAGGGAGGAGGCGGUGAGGUGGUGGGUGGGGGGGAGAUGCCUGAGGGGUUUGGAGGAGGAAUGUGGGGGUGGUUUGGGGGAGAUGAGGGUGGAAAUGACGGUAAUGCCCUUGGCAGCGGUGGAGUUAUGGGCGGCUCUGCUGGAGACGGCAAUGGUAGGGAAGUGGAUGGUGGAGGGGUCGGUGAGCGCGGCGUCGCGAGUGGAAAUUGGGCUACUGGCCGUGGGAAUGGCGGUGGAGUAGUUGAGAGCGGCGGAGACGGUGAUUGGGUCUCUAGUGGUGGAAUUGGGGGCUGCUCCAGGGAAGAAGCCGGUGGAAAUGGCAGCGGCGAUGUUCGGUUAAUUGAAAGCCUUGCGGGCCAUUCCGGUGGAAAUGAAGGCGGCGGCGAGGAAGUCGUUAAGGGAGGCGAGGACUCUGGUCGGGCUGCCGGCGGUGGAGGACUUGUGGGCUACCCCAAGGAAGUCACUGGUGGAAUUGGCGGCAAUUCCGGUGGAAGUGGCGGUGGAAUUGGAGGAAUUGAGAGUAGGUCCGACGGUAAUGGCCACGGGGAUGAUGUUGGGGAGAAGAAGAAAAGGCGAGGCCGGCCAAGAGGUUCAAAAACCAGAAGGAAAGGUGAAGAAGUUCCGGGUCAGUCUAGGGAGAGCACUGGCGGGAAUGGUGGUGGAAAUGAUGGGAAUGGGUGCAAUGCCAGUGGAAAUAUCGGUGGAGAUGAGAUUGUUGUGUUGAAAAAGCGAAAGCUAGGCCGGCCCAAGGGUUCAAAAACUAGGAGGAACGUUAUCGAUGGUGAGAUAGUUGAGCUCCCAAUCGGUAAUUGGGGUGGAAGUGAAGUAAUUGGUGGCCUAUCCAGUGGGAAUGGCAGGGGUGAAAUUGAAGGAACUGGAGACCUAUCUGGUGGGAGUGGCAGGGGUAGUGGUGAAGGGAUCGGAGGCCUGCCUGGUGGGGAUGGCAGUGGAGGAGAGAUUAUGGUGAAGAGGCGAAAGCUAGGCCGACCUAAAGGUUCAAAUACUAGGAGGAGGAUUCCUGAUGGUAGAGAACUCCAGGUAUGGGCAGGUGAAACAGUUGAAAAUGAUGGUCUGGCUCUUGAUUUGGAAGGAAACCGAUGGAAGUCUGGUGCAUUCCAUGGUGGAAACAAUGGGGAAGGAUGGAAGGUUAAGCAUGGGCGUGGCCGACCAAAAGGGUGGAAGAAGAAGGGUAGGAAGAGGAAGGUUUUUUAUGGUGGAGAACUUCGGGCUUUGGAAGGUGUGAAGAAGAGGGGAAGGAAGAGGAAGAUUGUUGAUGGUGAAGAGCUUUGGGAUUUGAAAGGGUUGGAAAAGAGGGGGAGGAAAGGGGGCAUUUUUUAUGGGAAAGAACUCCAGGGCAGUUCCUGUGAGGCCAGAAUGGUGGAUUUACUUGCCACAUUGCAAAGUUUUGCUCCUUAUAGUGGAGCCGUUUUGGCUGAAUACAUUAAGAAACAAUAUGCAGCAAUUACUAGUGUUCCCUCUAAGCAGAAAGUUUGGCGGCAGCCUGAUUUGGCCAAAAUGGUGGGCCUCCUUGCUACUUUAAGGGAUGUUGUGCCUUAUAGGGGAGAAGUCCUGGCCGAAAAUUUUCUGUACUUCAAAUGGCGUAGUUCAAUUUCUGCAUUAGAGUACCUGGCUCCUUGUAGAGGAGGUGUUCUGGCUGAAUAUUUCAUGUAUCGUGAACGAUCCAGUUCAAUUCCUUAUGAUGACAUCUACAAAUGCGAAUUUGAUGAGGCCCCACUUGUGACUGAAGAGAUUCAGGAUCAGUCUGUUCAAGGUAUUAGAGUAAAUGAAGGUCCCAGUCACAGUGAAGGCAUUGGAGUAGGUGAAGGUCCAAGUUCCACUGAAGGAAUUCAGGGGCAGUAUGGUGGAGCUGCUGGCGGAAAUGAUGGUGGGAAGCUUGGUGCUAAAGAAUUUUUGGGAGGGUUUGGUGCAUUUGCAAGGCAAAAGGAUGGUGGAUAUGGAUUUAGUAGGCUAAAGAACAAAUGCCGCAGACUAAAAGGUUCAAAUAAUGGUGAAGAGAUUGGGGGCUGGUCUGGUGAAGCCAGUAGGGAAAAUGGUCCUCAGAAAGAAAUUCAGGGCUGGUCAAGUGAAGCUUGCUGUCGAAAUGAUGGAGACGAGAUGGUCAGUCUGAGAGGUAGGUGUGACAGGCCAAACAGUUCGGAGGAUUGGAUGAACGAGCUUAACAGGAGUGGUGGAGCAACCUGCACUAUUGAUAGGAGAAGCGAGAUCAUUUCUUCAGAGGGUAAGUGUGGCUGGCCGCAGGUUAUAGAGAACAAAAGGACCAUUCUUGCUGCUGAACAAGAUGGGAUCAUUCCUUUUGAAGUCACUGGCUGGAAUGAUAUGGGGGAUGAGACUGAAGGUUUGGAGAAUAAGAAGAGUGGUCUCAUAGCUAUAGAAGAUCGUGGUUUGCCUGGUGAAGUUAUUGGUCGUGAUGAGAAGCCAAAUGAGAUUUUUCGGCAGAAGGCUAAGCGUGGCCGGCCAAAGGGUUCAAAGAACAGGAUUCCAUGUAUCCCUAAAGAAGAACAAAGCCAGGCCACUGCCAGUAAUUUUUUGGGUGGAAAUAACAGCGGAGAUGUGAAUAUUUCUUGGAAACGUAAGCCUGGCCGGCCAAAGGGUUCAAAGAACAAGAAGGUAAUCCUUAAUGGUGAAGCCCUGAACAAGAUUCCAAUGCUGAAUCAGGAACAUCAGAUGCCUGUUUCAAAGAUAGAAGAAGAUCUUAACAAAGAAGGCAGUUUACAGGUUGAGUAUGUGAGGGACUGUGGCAAUGCACAGAUGAGUAAUGGUGAGUUAUUAACUGAUACCGGCAAUGUUCAUAAGAGGCCCAGAGGAAGGCCGAAGAAGUUGAAGGACCAUCGGGGGGAAUCUAACUGCAUUAAAGAGGGAAAAUUCAAUGAGAAUGGAUUGGCGAAUUCAGGAUUAUCAGAUGCUAGCAAUGGGAAAAGAGAGCAGAGGAGUUUAAUGUGUCAUCAAUGCUUGAGGCAUGCCAAGAGUGGUGUUGUCGUUUGUUCCAGUUGCAAAAAGAAACGCUAUUGCUAUGAGUGCCUUGCGAAAUGGUACCCGGAGAAAACAAGAGAGGACAUAAGGAAUGCAUGUCCAUUCUGCCGUUGCAUUUGCAAUUGCAGAAUGUGUCUCAAACAGGAUUUAGUCGUAAUGACUGGUCAUGGAGAAGCAGAUACAAAUAUCAAAUUGCAAAAGUUGCUUUACUUGCUAGACAGAACUCUGCCUCUCCUCAGACAUAUUCACGGGGAGCAGAGCUCUGAGAUACAUGUGGAAGCCCAAAUACGAGGUGCUCAAUUGACAGAAGAGGAUAUAAUGAGGUCAAUACUUGACAAAGAUGACCGAGUGUAUUGUGACAAUUGCAAUACAUCCAUUGUCAAUUUACACAGAAGCUGCCCCAAUCCUGAUUGUUCUUAUGAUCUGUGUCUCACUUGUUGCCGGGAACUAAGAAAAGGUUUGCAGCCUGGUGGCAAUGAAGCAGAAUCUUCUCAUCAACAAUUUGUUGAACGAGUGAAUGGUCAAGGUACAGAAGUGAAGGGCAGAAUUCCUGCACAUGAUGAGAGGUAUGGUUGGGAGAGUGACGGGGCCCACCCCACAAAUAAUUAUGCAGCUGAUACCUGUGACUUUCCUGAUUGGAGAGUGAAUAUGGAUGGCAGCAUCCCUUGCCCUCCAAAAGCACGUGGAGGUUGUGGUACUGAGACACUUGAACUAAGACGUAUCUUUGAACCUAAUUGGGUAGACCACCUGAUCAAGAGUGCAGAGGACCUUACAAUGAAUUUUGGAUCACCAGACAUUGAUUUUUCUCAGGGAUGUUCAUUGUGCCUUCCUACUGCUUCCACAGGAAGUGGAGAAAAGCAUUGUGAAGUAAGGCGGGCAGCUUUUAGGGAGAACAGUCAUGACGACUUUCUCUACUGUCCAAAUUCUGCUUGCUUGGGAGACAACGAAAUUGAGCAUUUUCAAAUGCAUUGGAUGAGAGGUGAACCUGUCAUAGUUAGAAAUGUACUUGAGAAGACAUCUGGUCUUAGUUGGGACCCAAUGGUCAUGUGGAGGGCUUUUAGAGGUGCAACAAAAGUACUAAAAGAAGAUGCUUUGAGUGUUAAGGCCAUUGAUUGCUUCGAUUGGUGUGAGGUUCAGAUUAAUAUUUUCCAGUUUUUUAAGGGCUACUUACAAGGUCGAAGACAUAAGAGUGGGUGGCCAGAGAUGUUGAAGCUGAAGGACUGGCCUCCAUCAAAUUCGUUUGAUGAGUGUUUGCCUAGGCAUGGUGCUGAAUUUAUUGCUAUGCUCCCUUAUAGUGAUUACACGAACCCAAAAUCUGGUUUAUUGAAUCUCGCUACAAAGCUUCCUGAUGUUUUGAAGCCAGACCUGGGACCAAAAACAUACAUCGCUUAUGGGUCUUUGGAAGAACUUGGUAGAGGCAAUUCGGUGACAAAGCUGCAUUGCGACAUUUCAGAUGCGGUAAACGUAUUAACACACACAGCCAAAGUGAAUAUUACCCCAUUGCAAAGCAAAAUCAUGAACAAAUUGCAGAAGAAAUAUGAAGCUGAGGAUUUGCUGGAGCUCUAUGGUGGGGCACAUGAUGCAUCGGACACAACUGGGAAAGAAACAACAGAACAAUCUCAGAAAGAUGAAACCAUGGAUUGUGUAUAUUCUGCAAAAGAGAACACUGUUGGGAUUGACUCUUUGUUUCUAGGAAGCCUAAAUGAGAAAGAAGAGAAACACAGUGAGCAAGAAGAUAGGAGGACCUUGCCCUUAUUAGAUUCCAUGGGUUUAGGAACUAUGAGUUCAGAUAGAGAUUACAUUCUGGAGGAUCUUGCCCUUGAAAGUACAGUGAUGGUGAAUUGUGAAAAGCAAUCUGUUGGAGAUUUGAAUACAGAGUUUCAGAUUUGUGACCUUGAAAAGCAUGAAUCCAACUUGUCAUUGCUAGAAAAAGAUUGUGGGAUCACACAUGUAUUGGUUAAGAAACAGGCCGAGUUGAAAAGAUGUUCACUACAGUUUGGUGGCUCUGUUGAAGAUAGCUUGUUACAUGAAAGUAUUAAUCUAGAAAAAACCCCACCAAAUGGUCAUAAAAUUGGGAAUUUUUUGGGUAUGAGUGGUAAAGAAGACAGAUAUUACUCCAUGAACAAUCAACCUGAUACAUGCACCAGCUAUAUUGACGGGAGUUCAUCCAUUGUGCGAAACUGCAUGAAUGGGGAGCUAAACAUACAGGGAAUUGAACAACCGGGAUUCAAAGAAUUUUCCUCUUUCAUAUGCAGGGAUGUUGAUGAGAGGAAUUUCUCUUUAUCUGGUGAGAUAAAUGUAGAUGCCGACUGUCUUGCUACCAAAGACUUGUGUUGUCCUCAUCAGCUUGGUGCUGAAAAUGGAAUAGCUAAAACAGAUUCAUUUAAUCAAGAAUAUUCUCAACCUCCUAAUGUAGCGUUGAAAAACAAUCUUAACAAUGAAGAUGUUCUAGAUGUGAUUUUCUUAGGCACCGAACGAGAUUAUGAACCAGAGUUGAUGAAGUCAGACCUAGAUGAGAAGGGCACAAGGUUCAACUAUGCAGUCAACUGCAGGGAUGUUACUGAGAGAAAUUUCUCCUUGCCAGACCGAAUGGAUUUCAACCCCCACUGUCUUGACACUGAAGAGUUAUGUUGUGCUGAUCGACUUGAUGUUCAGGAUGAAAUAGUCGAGAGAGACUCAGCACACAAGCAAGAAUACAACCAGCCACCUAAUUUGUUAGGUACAAGGAUGCUUAUAAGUGGGAAAGAUGGUUUGCAGGGAAUGUUUUCAGGCAAUUGCUGGGAGAGUGGUCCAAAGCCAGAUACAAGAGUGCUAGAUGUGGGCCCUGACUGCUUUGCCAAAAGCAGGGAUGUUUCUGAAAAGGAUCUAUUCUUACCAGAGGAGAGGGAUAGAGAUCCAAAUUGUCCUGCUGCUGAAGAGUUUUGGUCUGGUAAUGGAUUUGAUGCCAAAAAUGCAAGAACUGAGAGAGGUCUGUGCAAUCAAGAAUAUUUUCAUCUUUCUAAUGAAAAAGCAGAGAUGAGGUUUGUCAGUGAAAAGAGUCCUUUGGAAGCAACCUUUUCAGGAAACGAAGCAAAUCAUUCAGAAUCAAUGAAGCCUGGUUCUUCCAAUGUUAGAGAUUCCGUUCAAAGCAAUGACCAUUCAGAGGUUGCAUAUGGAGGUGCUGUUUGGGACAUUUUUCGUAGGCAGGAUGUACCCAAGUUAAUUGAAUUCUUGCGGAAGCAUCAGAAAGAAUUUCGCCAUAUCAAUAAUCUUCCUGUGGAUUCGGUUAUUCAUCCCAUUCAUGACCAGACCCUUUAUCUGACUGAGAGGCAUAAGAAGCAACUGAAGGAGGAGUACAAUGUUGAACCUUGGACAUUUGAGCAAUACCUUGGUGAGGCUGUGUUCAUUCCUGCAGGAUGCCCACACCAAGUGAGAAAUAGACAGUCAUGCAUCAAAGUGGCCCUCGACUUUGUAUCCCCCGACAAUGUUCAAGAAUGCAUCCGGUUGACUGAGGAGUUCCGCCUGCUUCCAAAAGACCAUAGGGCUAAGGAAGAUAAAUUGGAGGUGCAUUUUUUUUAGAUCCCUUAUCUUGCGAUUGUAUAGGAAUCUAGCUUCUAAUGGUAAUGCCAUGUGUGACAGUGCUAAUACCACUGAAAUUUAUUUGCUAGGCUGAAAGCUUAAAACAGCUCAAACUUUCAGCCAAUGAAAGUAAUCUCUUAAAUUAGGUUAUGCAACGAUGGGAGUUUAUCUCAAUCUGAGUUUGAUACAUUUUCAUUACUCUAUGAGGCCCAACACUAGGUGGUCGUUUCAAGCCAACUUUUGUUUGCCUACUUGGACAUAGUGCACCCUGAAUAUCGGACAUCUUUUGGAAUAGGGAAAUGCUCUGUGACUAGAUAUACAUCCCAAAAAAGAGCGAGUAGGUUUGAUAAAUGAAUGGUUAUGGUUACACUAAUGAAGCGAUGUAAAGGGAUGUUUCUAACUCUCCAGAGGUUUCUAUCUGUUUAUAGGUAAAGAAGAUGGCAUUAUACGCUGUAAAUGUUGCUGUAGAUGAAGCGAAAAA